AGUGAACGCUGGCGGUAGGCCUAACACAUGCAAGUCGAACGGCAGCACAGGAGAGCUUGCUCUCUGGGUGGCGAGUGGCGGACGGGUGAGGAAUACAUCGGAAUCUACUCUGUCGUGGGGGAUAACGUAGGGAAACUUACGCUAAUACCGCAUACGACCUACGGGUGAAAGCAGGGGAUCUUCGGACCUUGCGCGAUUGAAUGAGCCGAUGUCGGAUUAGCUAGUUGGCGGGGUAAAGGCCCACCAAGGCGACGAUCCGUGGCUGGUCUGAGAGGAUGAUCAGCCACACUGGAACUGAGACACGGUCCAGACUCCUACGGGAGGCAGCAGUGGGGAAUAUUGGACAAUGGGCGCAAGCCUGAUCCGGCCAUACCGCGUGGGUGAAGAAGGCCUUCGGGUUGUAAAGCCCUUUUGUUGGGAAAGAAAUCCAGCUGGCUAAUACCCGGUUGGGAUGACGGUACCCAAAGAAUAAGCACCGGCUAACUUCGUGCCAGCAGCCGCCGUAA
rnacentral:rRNA from 1 species